GAUGAACGCUGGCGGCGUGCCUAAUACAUGCAAGUCGAGCGAACAGAUGAGGAGCUUGCUCCUCUGACGUUAGCGGCGGACGGGUGAGUAACACGUGGAUAACCUACCUAUAAGACUGGGAUAACUUCGGGAAACCGGAGCUAAUACCGGAUAAUAUAUUGAACCGCAGGGUUCAAUAGUGAAAGACGGUUUUGCUGUCACUUAUAGAUGGAUCCGCGCCGCAUUAGCUAGUUGGUAAGGUAACGGCUUACCAAGGCAACGAUGCGUAGCCGACCUGAGAGGGUGAUCGCCCACACUGGAACUGAGACACGGUCCAUACUCCUACGGGAGGCAGCAGUAGGGAAUCUUCCGCAAUGGGCGAAAGCCUGACGGAGCAACGCCGCGUGAGUGAUGAAGGUCUUCGGAUCGUAAAACUCUGUUAUUAGGGAAGAACAAAUGUGUAAGUAACUAUGCACGUCUUGACGGUACCUAAUCAGAAAGCCACGGCUAACUACGUG
rnacentral:rRNA from 1 species